rnacentral:rRNA from 1 species
UACGUAGGGUGCAAGCGUUUGUCCGGAAUCAUUGGGCGUAAAGAGCUCGUAGGCGGUUUGUCGCGUCUGCUGUGAAAACUCGGGGCUUAACUCCGGGCCUGCAGUGGGUACGGGCAGACUAGAGUGCGGUAGGGGAGACUGGAAUUCCUGGUGUAGCGGUGAAAUGCGCAGAUAUCAGGAGGAACACCGGUGGCGAAGGCGGGUCUCUGGGCCGUAACUGACGCUGAGGAGCGAAAGCGUGGGGAGCGAACAGG